CCUCGGCAUACUGCUCAGUAACACGUGGACAACCUACCCUAUGGAGGGGGAUAACCCCGGGAAACUGGGGAUAAUACCCCAUAGACUAUGGAUGCUGGAAUGCUCUGUAGCCAAAAGGUCAGCCGCCAUAGGAUGGGUCUGCGGCCGAUUAGGUAGUUGUUGGGGUAACGGCCCAACAAGCCUGUAAUCGGUACGGGUUGUGGGAGCAAGAGCCCGGAGAUGGAUUCUGAGACACGAAUCCAGGCCCUACGGGGCGCAGCAGGCGCGAAAACUUUACAAUGCGGAAAACCGUGAUAAGGGAACUCCGAGUGCCCGUUAAAUCGGGCUGUCCAUCUGUGUAAAUAACAGGUGAAGAAAGGGCCGGGCAAGACCGGUGCCAGCCGCCGCGGUAAUACCGGCGGCUCGAGUGGUGGCCACUAUUACUGGGCUUAAAGCGUUCGUAGCUGGUUUGUUAAGUCUCUGGGGAAAUCUUCCGGCUUAACCGGAAGGCGUCUCAGGGAUACUGGCAGACUAGGGACCGGAAGAGGUGAGGGGUACUCCAGGGGUAGGAGUGAAAUCCUGUAAUCCUUGGGGGACCACCUGUGGCGAAGGCGCCUCACCAGAACGGCUCCGACAGUGAGGGACGAAAGCUGGGGGAGCAAACCGGAUUAGAUACCCGGGUAGUCCCAGCCGUAAACGAUGUGCGUUAGGUGUAUCGGUGACCACGAGUCACCGAGGUGCCGAAGAGAAAUCGUGAAACGUACCGCCUGGGAAGUACGGUCGCAAGGCUGAAACUUAAAGGAAUUGGCGGGGGAGCACCACAACAGGUGGAGCCUGCGGUUUAAUUGGACUCAACGCCGGGAAGGGCGAAUUCCA
rnacentral:rRNA from 1 species